GCUCAAAACUCAUCCAGUGAAUACCAAAUUUCAUACCAAAAAAAAUCCUCGAGCAAAGAAGAACAAAAAGCUUUUACAACACACAACAAUAGUCAUACAUAACAUCUCGUAAAUAAAUCUAGAACAAGCAACUAACUAACCUACAUUAUCUUUUAUCAAACAUGAAGAACUUUUAUCAAACAGUUUGCGUGCACUCAAUAAAACUCAAAAAUAAAUGAGAAUGCUUACCUCAAACGAUUAUUGCCUCUAACUAACAAUCAACCUUAAAAAUCUAAUCCCAGAAAUGUGUUCCAACUAAACUAACUAUUAACGUUAUUUCAAAUUUGUUUUUCUUCACUGAGAAAGAGUUCAAUGUCGAAGGAAUUGUUGAGUCUUGAUAAUGGCACCGUUUGUUCUUCAUGAAAUUACUCUGACACAAGAGUCGUUUAUUCCAUCGAUGGCACUCUUUCGAUUUCGAUAUGAUAUUCAAUUUGAGACAGAGAUUCAACUUCUUACUCUAACACUCCGAGCGGUUAUAUAUACCACCCUUAAGUAGGAUAUGCGGGUUUAAAAGAUUCCUUCAAAAAA
rnacentral:lncRNA from 1 species